CCAUGAGUGAACUGGAUGAGGAGCAUCUGGAGGAUGAAGAGCUGCAGCCUCCCCGGAACAAGACCCCUUCCCCACCCUGUCCAGCCAGCAAGGUGGUACGGCCCCUCCGGACUUUCUUGCACACAGUGCAGAAGAACCAGAUGCUCAUGACCCCUACUCUGGCCUCCCGCAGCAGUGUCAUGAAGUCCUUUAUUAAACGCAACACUCCACUCCGUGUGGACCCUAAGUGCAGCUUUGUUGAGAAGGAGCGCCAGCGCCUAGAGAGCCUGCGGCGGAAGGAGGAGGCCGAGCAGCUGCGCAGACAGAAGGUAGAGGAAGACAAGCGGCGGCGCCUGGAGGAGGUGAAGCUGAAGCGUGAAGAGCGCCUCCGCAAGGUAUUGCAGGCUCGUGAGCGGGUGGAACAGAUGAAGGAGGAAAAGAAGAAGCAGAUUGAGCAGAAGUUUGCUCAGAUUGAUGAGAAGACAGAGAAGGCUAAGGAGGAGCGGCUGGCAGAGAAGGCCAAGAAGAAGGCGGCCGCCAAGAAGAUGGAAGAGAUGGAGGCGCGCAGGAAGCAGGAGGAGGAGGCGCGCAGGCUCAAGUGGCUCCAGCAGGAGGAAGAGGAGCGGCGGCAUCAAGAAAUGCUACAGCGGAAGAAGGAGGAAGAACAGGAGCGCCGCAAAGCAGCUGAGGCCAGGCGACUGGCAGAACAGCGUGAGCAAGAGCGGCGGAGAGAGCAAGAACGGAGAGAGCAGGAACGGAGAGAGCAGGAGCGGAGAGAGCAGGAGCGGAGAGAGCAGGAGCGGAGGGAGCAGGAGCGGAGAGAGCAGGAACGGAGGGAGCAGGAACGACUUCGGGCCAAGAGGGAGAUGCAGGAGAGAGAGAAGGCCCUGCGGCUCCAAAAGGAACGACUUCAGAGGGAACUGGAAGAGAAGAAGAAGAAGGAAGAGCAGCAGCGCCUGGCUGAGCAGCAACUGCAGGAGGAGCAGGCAAAGAAAGCUAAGGAGGUGGCCGCCGGCAAAGCACUGAACAUGACUGUGGAUGUGCAGAUGACUCCACAAGGACCCAAGUCCUUUCCCAAGAUCAGCAUGGAUGACUAUGGGAUGGACCUGAAUAGCGAUGACUCCACAGAUGAUGAGGCCCAUCCCCGGAAACCCAUCCCUUCCUGGGCCAAAGGCACUCAGCUCAGCCAGGCCAUCGUCCACCAGUACUACCACCCCCCAAACAUUCUAGAGCUCUUCGGAUCUAUUCUCCCACUGGACUUGGAGGACAUCUUUAAGAAGAGGAAGACUCGCUACCACAAGCGCACCAGCUCUGCUGUUUGGAACUCACCACCUCUGAAAGCCACCAUCCCCAGCAGUGGGGACUAACCUAUAGCCUGAAGAAGCCAUGAGGCAAGCCCUCAAUCCUUUUGGCAGUACAGGGCCCAUGUGUGUCUUUCUGUUUGUCUUUCUGUCUGUUUCUGUGUUGGACUGGUGUCCUUCUGUCUGACUUGCCAUUGUUCAAGUGGAUAUCAAUGUUCUCUGUCAGGUAUUCCCAGACCUCUUUGGAGGAUGGGCUUUAUGCCUGGGGAAGAACCAGGUUCAGCACUGAUCAAUCUGGAGGCAGUACUCUGUAAAUAGAUUGUUACAGUUCAGUUGAAUGAAUUUUAGUUUCUAGUGUUUGUGAGGUAGUUUAAUAAAGUAUAUAGCCUGAAGCCUGCUGUGGAUAUUGUGAAAACUGGAGGCUUCGAUGGAGUAUUGGUCUGCAGCAGUGCGUUUGUGCCUUUACCUUCAGUGUAUGCUAGACCACUUGGUUGGCCCAGAUGGGGUUCCACCCAGAGGUUCUAAUGCUAGACAACCCCUGGGAAACACGCAUGUUCCAAAAGAGCAGUUGAACAUGCUUUCCGUUUGUAAGUGGAGCCUAUUCCUCAGGAAAGACCUGUC
rnacentral:lncRNA from 1 species